AGAACGAACGCUGGCGGCAGGCUUAACACAUGCAAGUCGAACGAAUGUAGCAAUACAUUAGUGGCGCACGGGUGAGUAACGCGUGGAUAUCUGCCUUUUGGUUCGGGAUAACCUUGGGAAACUAGGGCUAAUACCGAAUGGUUCCUACGGGAUAAAGAUUUAUCGCCAAAAGAUGAGUCCGCGUCCGAUUAGCUAGUUGGUGAGGUAAUGGCUCACCAAGGCGACGAUCGGUAGGUGGUCUGAGAGGACGAUCACCCAGACUGGGACUGAGACACGGCCCAGACUCCUACGGGAGGCAGCAGUCGGGAAUUUUGCGCAAUGGACGAAAGUCUGACGCAGCAACGCCGCGUGAGGGAUGACGGCCUUCGGGUUGUAAACCUCUUUUGUCAGGGACGAUGAUGACGGUACCUGACGAAUAAGUCACGGCUAACUACGUGCCAGCAGCCGC
rnacentral:rRNA from 1 species